rnacentral:rRNA from 1 species
CCUACGGGAGGCAGCAGUGGGGAAUCUUGCGCAAUGGGCGAAAGCCUGACGCAGCCAUGCCGCGUGAAUGAUGAAGGUCUUAGGAUUGUAAAAUUCUUUCACCGGGGACGAUAAUGACGGUACCCGGAGAAGAAGCCCCGGCUAACUUCGUGCCAGCAGCCGCGGUAAUACGAAGGGGGCUAGCGUUGCUCGGAAUUACUGGGCGUAAAGGGAGCGUAGGCGGAUAGUUUAGUCAGAGGUGAAAGCCCAGGGCUCAACCUUGGAAUUGCCUUUGAUACUGGCUAUCUUGAGUGUGGGAGAGGUAUGUGGAACUCCGAGUGUAGAGGUGAAAUUCGUAGAUAUUCGGAAGAACACCAGUGGCGAAGGCGACAUACUGGCCCAUUACUGACGCUGAGGCUCGAAAGCGUGGGGAGCAAACAGGAUUAGAUACCCUGGUAGUCCACGCUGUAAACGAUGAGUGCUAGUUGUCGGCAGCAUGCUCGUCGGUGACGCAGCUACGCAUAAGACACUCCGCCGUCGGGAGGUACGGUCGCGAGAAUAAACUACAAGAAGUAGUAGACGNGUAGACGACGCGACGACGACGACGACGGAGGAGGAG